rnacentral:rRNA from 1 species
UACGAAGGGGGCUAGCGUUGCUCGGAAUUACUGGGCGUAAAGCGCGUGUAGGUGGCGAUGUAAGUCGGGUGUGAAAUCCCUUGGCUUAACCAAGGAAGUGCAUUCGAUACUGUGUCGCUUGAGUAUCGGAGGGGUCGGCGGAAUUCCCGGUGUAGAGGUGAAAUUCGUAGAUAUCGGGAGGAACACCUGUGGCGAAGGCGGCCGACUGGACGAUCACUGACACUGAGACGCGAAAGCGUGGGUAGCAAACAGG